GGAAGUGAUAAAUGCCUGGAGCCUGGAUGCCUAUUUGAAAGCUCUGUACGAUAGAUCACAUGCAGCAUUAGCAUCUCUGUUAAUGAUUGCCUCACAAUCGAACUAAAGCUAACUGAUAAAGAACUGAUAGACAAAAAAAUAAAUUACAACCAAAACAUCAGUUACUAUACAAUUUCUCAUCAUAAAGAAGAAACAUCACCAAUAAUCGACAAAUCAAGGAGGAAAACACAGGCUGGAAAAUUUAAUGUUUAUUUUGUUUUGAAGUUUUCAAGCAAGUCUAAAAUCCAUAAAUUUUCAAAAAGAGCAAUUCAAGGAAGUUAUAAACAUUAAAAGGAAUAUAAUAUUCACUGAUAAAAG
rnacentral:lncRNA from 1 species